CCUACGGUGGGCAGCAGUGAGGAAUAUUGGUCAAUGGGCGCGAGCCUGAACCAGCCAAGUAGCGUGAAUGAUGACUGCCCUACGGGUUGUAAACUUCUUUUAUAAAGGAAUAAAGUGAGGCACGUAUGCCUUUUUGUAUGUACUUUAUGAAUAAGGAUCGGCUACCUCCGUGCCAGCAGCCGCGGUCAUACGGAGGAUCCGAGCGUUAUACGGAUUUAUUGGGUUUAAAGGGAGCGUAGAUGGGUUGUUAAGUCAGUUGUGAAAGUUUGCGGCUCAACCGUAAAAUUGCAAUUGAUACUGGCAGACUUGAGUACAGGUGAGGUAGGCGGAAUUCGUGGUGUAGCGGUGAAAUGCUUCGAUAUCACGAAGAACUCCGAUUGCGAAGGCAGCUUACUAAACUGCCACUGACAUUGAUGCUCGAAAGUGUGGGUAUCAAACAGGAUUAGAUACCCCUGUAGUC
rnacentral:rRNA from 1 species